CUGGAAGGGUUUAUGUGACGCCCCCACGCCUUCCUGCAAUUUCUCUCAGCGCCCAGGAUGUGAGCAAUUUUUCUUCCUAGCGCUCCACCUCUCCGCCACCCCCUCACCAUGCCCCCCACUCCCACCAAGCCCCUGCCACAAAGUCACGCCCCAAACACACCCCUCACCACGCCCCCUCCCCGCCCCUUGGAGUCUGCUGACUGCGAACUGAAAUGUGAGCCAAAAUAACCUCUCUUCUAAGUUGCAAGAGUGAGGUUUUGUGUCUCAACAAUGAGAAAGGGACCUAAACAGGGAAAGAGAAAUAGGAACUAAGGGCAGGAGGUUGAGGCCAGAAGACCUGCAGUGGCAAGAGAGUGAGAGGGUCCUGAGGCUGGCGGGCCCUCCUUCCUCCCGGACCCCCCUCCUGCCAGGCAGCAGGGGCACAGCCCAGGGGUCACUGCCGUGGCCUCCCCUGAGCAGGCUGAGUGAGCUGGUUCUGAAGAACUCCAUCAUGAAACAGACUUUCGUGAUCCGAAGAGUCUCCUUGUUCCAGUGGGUACCGAACACGAGGGACUUCUAAGGCCCAUAUAUUUAAGCAUAAAAGUGAAUAUUUAUACAAAUGUAGGGUAGCUGGGCCUAAAUUGCACAGCCAAGUGCCUCACCUCAGGGCGUAAGCUGCGGGGAGCUGGGGAGCCUCCAAGCAGGACUCCUCACCCAUCCAGCUGGGUUGUCUGCCAUAAUGACACAUUAUGAUUAUGUCGGAAUUGGCGCACUUGUGACUCAAUGAACUGAUGCAAAUUGAACAUGAGCAAAAAGAUCGUAUAACUUUUAUAGGUGAGGGGAAUUAGAUGUCUUAUUUUUCUAAUUUAAUACUGCAGUGGGAACAUUCUCUGGGGAGGAUGGAUAAAGCGAUGGCUCAUUGAUCACCAGGCUGCAUUCAAGGGUGGAGGGGAGACAUCAGGUUAGUUUUCUUCUCUGUCAUGUUGUGGGAUGGAAAAUCGGCAGGAAAAAUCAUGUAUAACAAGAAUGAAUCCAAGUGUCACAGUGGUGUCACAAAACUCCACGGGUAUUCUGGACUUGGUGGCUGCGUCCGGGCGGUGAGCUCCAACAGGGUGUGCUGUGAUACACACACACUGUCAGGGUGGCAGAACGCAUUGGGCUAAAUCCCAGGUGUUAUGGAUCAAAAACUGGUGGUCAACUUAAAGCCAGUGGAAUCAAAGCAUGGUGCUGAGUGUAGAUGUCCCACCUGAGGAAAGUUGCAUAAAUAGAGACGUGGAGAAUGAGAAGAGAGGCAUUGAGGUGUUGUGUGUUCUGCUAAGUGUUGCUGUUAGGAGCCAUUGGUUCUCCUGAAGGAGCUUGUCAUGCUGGCUUCCCCAGUGUGAGUUCGACCACUGUCUUCGGAGGAGCUCAGGACGUUGUUGCAGAAAGGGCCCCACACACCAAGAGCCACUUACUUGCCUGCUGAAGCUUCAAAUUCUACUGUCACGAUUCAGAGCUACACUUCCUUUGUUGAGGAAAACUGCAGACAGACAACAGGGCAUCCACGCUGCGCUGACGUCAUUCUGAGCAGUGGCGGUGUGGAAGAUGGAAGAUUAGCGUUGAUUCACAUGCAAGAUGCAGAAGUGAACGCCCAUGUGCAAGAGAUGACCAUUUCACACUGAUGUGGGGCUGAGACUGCAGGGGUGCUGUGGAUACUGGUUCCCGGUACUCUGGCAGUCAGGGCUUGGGGGCACUGCAUGCAGCGUGCAGCUGAGUGCACACAGGACGCAGGACUGAAUUUCAGCUGCUCCUCUCAGAAAUAACUCAGCUCCCCAAAGAUCAAAUCCACCAAUUACUGAUGAGUUGAAAAAUUUGCAGCACGAAGGACUUAUGUUUGAUGGGCUCAGUUCUCUUUUACCUGAUGGAACCCACUCAGCUAAGAGACACUGAUGGCACAUCCCUGUGUGUUAGGUUUAGAAGGGAAAUUCUGACAUGAGGGUAAGGGUUUAAUUUGCUGCUGGUGUGGAGGGUUUAGCUGAUAUAUAUCUCUCCAAAGUAUCCCUCAGUCUAAAGAAUACUAUCAUUAAUGUAUUAUAUCUAUAUAUUCCCCAGCUAUACAUUGAUAAAAGUGGGAGUUUCUGAUCAUACAAAAUCAUUGUUCAUUUGGUAAUAAUUCUUUUGGUAAUUGGUAAUAAUUCUUUUUGGUUACUAUAAUUUUAAUGUGCCCAAUUCUUAUUCUUGUAAGUGGGCAUUGAGUUCUUUAUUCCUUUUGAAAACUUAACUAUUUAUUUCCAUUGGAGAGUCUCAUUGUUUGAUAAUACCUAAGAUAACAGAUAAUUUAAAAAUUUUUAUUGUUUUGUGUUCUCUCAUAGCUGGUAUUUUGCUAUUUUAAUAUUAAUUCAUGUUAAUUAAUAGAGGUUUGACUACUAUCCUUUAACUAGUAGACAUUUAUUAAAAUUAUCACCAUGGAUCAA